UAAUAAUCCUCCUGAUCCAUAGAUUGUGAUAGGAACGUUGAUGCCUAUACAACACCAUCAUCAUAUAACCAAACUAGCUUUCAGGAUUGAUUACUACUUGCUAGCUUAGGAUUGGAUUUUCUUUGCUAGAUGGUGUUGUAUUGUGAUUUUAAAUUUCAGAUGUUGUAGUACU